rnacentral:rRNA from 1 species
GGGGCUAAACAUAUUACCGAAGCUGUGGAUUGUCCUUUGGACAAUGGUAGGAGAGCGUUCUAAGGGCGUUGAAGCAUGAUCGUAAGGACAUGUGGAGCGCUUAGAAGUGAGAAUGCCGGUGUGAGUAGCGAAAGAUGGGUGAGAAUCCCGUCCACCGAUUGACUAAGGUUUCCAGAGGAAGGCUCGUCCGCUCUGGGUUAGUCGGGUCCUAAGCUGAGGCCGACAGGCGUAGGCGAUGGAUAACAGGUUGAUAUUCCUGUACCACCUAUAAUCGUUUUAAUCGAUGGGGGGACGCAGUAGGAUAGGCGAAGCGUGCGAUUGGAUUGCACGUCUAAGCAGUAAGGCUGAGUAUUAGGCAAAUCCGGUACUCGUUAAGGCUGAGCUGUGAUGGGGAGAAGACAUUGUGUCUUCGAGUCGUUGAUUUCACACUGCCGAGAAAAGCCUCUAGAUAGAAAAUAGGUGCCCGUACCGCAAACCGACACAGGUAGUCAAGAUGAGAAUUCUAAGGUGAGCGAGCGAACUCUCGUUAAGGAACUCGGCAAAAUGACCCCGUAACUUCGGGAGAAGGGGUGCUCUUUAGGGUUAACGCCCAGAAGAGCCGCAGUGAAUAGGCCCAAGCGACUGUUUAUCAAAAACACAGGUCUCUGCUAAACCGUAAGGUGAUGUAUAGGGGCUGACGCCUGCCCGGUGCUGGAAGGUUAAGAGGAGUGGUUAGCUUCUGCGAAGCUACGAAUCGAAGCCCCAGUAAACGGCGGCCGUAACUAUAACGGUCCUAAGGUAGCGAAAUUCCUUGUCGGGUAAGUUCCGACCCGCACGAAAGGCGUAACGAUUUGGGCACUGUCUCAACGAGAGACUCGGUGAAAUCAUAGUACCUGUGAAGAUGCAGGUUACCCGCGACAGGACGGAAAGACCCCGUGGAGCUUUACUGUAGCCUGAUAUUGAAAUUCGGCACAGCUUGUACAGGAUAGGUAGGAGCCUUUGAAACGUGAGCGCUAGCUUACGUGGAGGCGCUGGUGGGAUACUACCCUAGCUGUGUUGGCUUUCUAACCCGCACCACUUAUCGUGGUGGGAGACAGUGUCAGGCGGGCAGUUUGACUGGGGCGGUCGCCUCCUAAAAGG